GGAUGAAUAUGUUAUCAUGAGGGAGAGAAAAACUCAUCUUGCAACCAUUGUAUUUAGCAUCCAAGCUACCUCCAUUGUGCAGCAUACCACAUGCAUACUGGCUGUAAAUAUUGCUCAUGGUCGCCUUGGGGUAACGCUCACCCUGUACCAUGGCUUCAGCUUCUUGGCUUUAUC